rnacentral:rRNA from 1 species
CCCUUAGAUGUUCUGGGCAGCACGCGCGCUACAAUGGUCUUCGCAAACGGAUGCAUUCUCGAAGGAGAAUGCCAAUCUUGGAAUCUAUGCCUUGGUCGGGACAGUUGCUUGCAAUUUUUCGACUCGAACCAGGAAUUCCUUGUAAUCGUGACUCAUCACAUCACGAUGAUUACGUCCCUGCCCUUUGUACACACCGCCCGUCGCUCCUACCGAUUGAAUGAUCCGAUGAAUAUCAUGGAUUGAGGAUUAUAGCAGGUUCGCCUGUCUUGAUCUUCGAGAAGUGAAGUAAAUCUUAUCAUUUAGAGGAAGGAGAAGUCGUAACA